GCUGCCGCUUAUGAAGAACGACUAACAUGGCCUUAAAAACACGACCUCUGCUGCAUUGGCCGGGAAUCGGACCCGGGUCUCCCGCGCCGCGGCCUUGAAUUGUUUAGCUAAACGGCCCUAAACCGUUUCCCAUUCAUUCUCAAUGGUAGUGCUAAACCACUACGGAUGUAAUAUAUUUCGGCCGCUAGCGCUCUCGUGGCGCUCUUCCGGUUUUCGGCACCGCGGGAAGUUUGAAUUCGCAGAAGAAGGAGAAGAAGAAAACACACAACAGCGAUCGGCUCCGUUGUUAAAUUCAACGCAUUCUCAAGCGUCUAUCAAAGAGAGCACUGCUUCUUCACUGAUUGUGUCUUUGCUGUCAUCUUUUCCUGGGACCCGAGCAGAUCUUCAGUCAGAGACAGGAGCUACAUGUUUGUCACCUCUGCAUGUGCUGGCCGUACCUGACCUGUGAAGACUGCUGACAGGGUGUUUGUACUGGACAGCGAACGCUGAGCCUAUCGACAACGUGCUUAAUAAACACCACAGGAAGACAUCCUAACAGCACGCUCCAUAUGACCACAAAACUACACGUCACAUUAUGUCAAGCACCUGACCACACUGCUGAACACCAGUUCUUCAUUAAACACGACUGCAGAGAAGUAAACACCAGGAUGUCAUUCCAAGACUUUAUGGAAAUGGAGCACUUUAGACUGAACUGAAGGACACAAAGAAACGGGACUGCAAAAACACGAAAGGCCUGGAGAUGAACACGUUGUUCACUUGUGCAGAUUUUGUGAAAUGGAACUUAGCCAGGAUCCAAACAGUCCUCACACACACACACACACACACACACACACACACACACACACACACACACACACACACACACACACACACACACACACACACACACAGGCUAUCCUGAAAUAAGUUCAAAAAAUUUUUUGAAAAAAAGUAAAGCUAAAGUCUUCUUUAUUUACCAACAUCAGGGCAUUGAGAAAGAGGUGACCUGGAAAGAGUCUAAAGAAAAAUACGAGAUAUUAAUUUGCAGCUUAUUUAGCAAUAUUUAACUCAUGUAUAUACUGUAUAUUUUAAUUUUUCAGUGUGAGAUUGUAAUAUCUAUUUAUAUUGUCAGAAUUCUUUUUUCUAUUUAAUUAUUUUGGCUUGAUCUUAAAAGGUGCUAAAAGCAUUUAAUAAACACAACUGAAAAAUA